rnacentral:rRNA from 1 species
CUACGGGAGGCUCCAGUGAGGAAUAUUGCACAAUGGGGGGAACCCUGAUGCAGCAACGCCGCGUGGAGGAUGACGCAUUUCGGUGUGUAAACUCCUUUUAUAUGUCAAGAAAAUGACGGUAGCAUAUGAAUAAGCGCCGGCUAACUCCGUGCCAGCAGCCGCGGUAAUACGGAGGGCGCAAGCGUUACUCGGAAUCACUGGGCGUAAAGGACGCGUAGGCGGGUUGAAAAGUCAGGUGUGAAAGCCUACAGCUUAACUGUAGAACUGCACUUGAAACUCUCAAUCUAGAGUAUGGGAGGGGCAGAUGGAAUUAGUGGUGUAGGGGUAAAAUCCGUAGAUAUCACUAGGAAUACCUAAAGCGAAGGCGAUCUGCUGGAACAUUACUGACGCUAAGGCGUGAAAGCGUGGGGAGCAAACAGGAUUAGAUACCCCAGUAGUC